UCACUUAUCCCUCUCCUCGCGAAAAUCCUCUAAUACAAAUACCAAUUCCUCACAUCGCAUUUCUCAAAUCAGUAAACAAAAUCUUGAGAUUAGGAUGUGAAAGGUGAGGAAUUGAGCUUGAAUUCAUCAAGUCAUUCUUCUUCUUACGUAUUUGCGAGAGAUCGCAGAAAUUCUCCUCAAGAAUUUAAUUACGAUAGGCCACCAAAUUUCUGCAAUUAUGGAUUAAAGGCAACAAAAUGGGUUUCAUGGAGUGAAUCAAACCCAAGAAGAAGGUUCUAUUCAUGUCAAUAUUUAAGAUGACAGCCAAAAGGAUGUCAUUCUUCGAGUGGCACCAUGAGAAGAUGAGUGAGAGGGCUGUGAAUGUCAUAAAUGAUUUGAGGGUAAAUUUUUUUACUGUCAAUGAAGGCAAUGCACAUUCUUAUCAAUUGAUAAGGGAUAGAUAUGAUAUUCGUGCACAGGAAAUGGAGGUUGAGAUGCAAGUUGUAUUAUGUGAUUUGCUUGAGCAGAAGAAUGAAUUUAAUAACCUCAAGGGAAGAGUAUUUUGGUUAUGGAUUGGUCUUGGGUUAAUGUUGGUGUUUUGCACUUUGCUCUGUUAUGGGAGAUAUCUGUAGAGCAUGUCUGACCUGUGCUUAGCUUAUUUUAUACAAUUUAUUACUCUGUUAGCUUUGCAUAGCUUGUCACAAUGUAGUUAGAUGCAGGAACUUAUUAUGUAAUAUUGAAUUUUGAUUUCAAUGGGAAUGAGAAAUACUAGAAAUGGUUUUAUUAAA